rnacentral:rRNA from 1 species
GACGGAGGAUGCAAGUGUUAUCCGGAAUCACUGGGCGUAAAGCGUCUGUAGGUGGUCAAAUAAGUCAACUGUUAAAUCUUGAGGCUCAACCUCAAAAUCGCAGUCGAAACUGUUAGACUAGAGUAUAGUAGGGGUAAAGGGAAUUUCCAGUGGAGCGGUGAAAUGCGUAGAGAUUGGAAAGAACACCGAUGGCGAAGGCACUUUACUGGGCUAUUACUAACACUGAGAGACGAAAGCUAGGGUAGCAAAUGGG